rnacentral:rRNA from 1 species
GAUGAACGCUGGCGGCGUGCCUAAUACAUGCAAGUCGAGCGAACAGAUGAGGAGCUUGCUCCUCUGACGUUAGCGGCGGACGGGUGAGUAACACGUGGAUAACCUACCUAUAAGACUGGGAUAACCUCGGGAAACCGGAGCUAAUACCGGAUAAUAUAUUGAAUCGCAUGGUUCAAUAGUGAAAGACGGUUUUGCUGUCACUUAUAGAUGGAUCCGCGCCGCAUUAGCUAGUUGGUAAGGUAACGGCUUACCAAGGCAACGAUGCGUAGCCGACCUGAGAGGGUGAUCAGCCACACUGGAACUGAGACACGGUCCAGACUCCUACGGGAGGCAGCAGUAGGGAAUCUUCCGCAAUGGGCGAAAGCCUGACGGAGCAACGCCGCGUGAGUGAUGAAGGUCUUCGGAUCGUAAAACUCUGUUAUUAGGGAAGAACAAAUGUGUAAGUAACUAUGCACGUCUUGACGGUACCUAAUCAGAAAGCCACGGCUAACUACGUG